AGACAAAAAAAGGCCGAGUCCACUCCUAUACUCGGCCCAGGGAAAAUGGCUCUGUCAAAGAGCCUUGCGCAAAAGUUGCCAUUGAGACGUAGAACAACUUACCAUCUAAAGCGUAGUUGACAUGGCAUGAUUUACCAAAUU
rfam:Xenorhabdus khoisanae strain MCB contig200, whole genome shotgun sequence.